CUGCAAGUCGAACGGACCGAUCCUGUCGCAGCGGACCGAGGAUUCGUCUGACGUCCAAAGCUUGGGAUAGGUUAGUGGCGUACGGGUGAGUAACACGUAGGUGACCUGCCCCGAAGAGGGGGAUAACUGCUGGAAACGGCAGCUAAUACCCCAUGUGAUCGGCGAUUCGUUUCGCUGAUUAAAGCUCCGGCGCUUCGGGAGGGGCCUGCGGCCGAUUAGCUAGUUGGUGGGGUAAUGGCUCACCAAGGCGAUGAUCGGUAGCUGGUCUGAGAGGAUGAUCAGCCACACUGGCACUGACACACGGGCCAGACUCCUACGGGAGGCAGCAGUGAGGAAUAUUGCGCAAUGGGCGAAAGCCUGACGCAGCAACGCCGUGUGGGCGAUGAAGGCCUUCGGGUUGUAAAGCUCUGUCAGGAGGGGCGAAUAUCCGCCGGGAACAAUACCCCGGCGGUUUGACG
rnacentral:rRNA from 1 species